GGAAUGUGUAUGAAAAUGAAAUCCUCAUCCUCGAAAAUUCUGACACUAAUUCUAAUGCCUUGCAGGAUUUUGACGACAACCAUGUCUACAAGGAAUCUAACGACAACUCUUCCGAUAAGGAUUACGAUGACAUCUUUGGCUAUAAUGAUUAGCCAAUUUCUGAAGUGCUGCUCUUAAGCUACAAGUAAAUCAGGAACCUGCAUGCUCGUUAUGGAGGUCAAAGGCAGUGGCAUGAAUUUUAUAUUG